rnacentral:rRNA from 1 species
UACGUAGGGUGCAAGCGUUGUCCGGAAUUAUUGGGCGUAAAGAGCUCGUAGGCGGUUUGUCGCGUCUGGUGUGAAAAUCCAGGGCUUAACCCUGGACCUGCAUCGGGUACGGGCAGACUAGAGUGCGGUAGGGGAGAUCGGAAUUCCUGGUGUAGCGGUGAAAUGCGCAGAUAUCAGGAGGAACACCCGUGGCGAAGGCGGCUCUCUGGGACGGUACUGACGCUGAGACGCGAAAGCGUGGGGAGCGAACAGG